GCCCGCUUGGCGGAAUUGGUAGACGCAACGGACUUAAAAUCCGUUGUCCGUAAGGACGUGCCGGUUCGAGUCCGGCAGCGGGCACCA
rnacentral:tRNA from 1 species